rnacentral:piRNA from 1 species
UGGGUCUACCGCUGCCAAUUGGCUGUGAC